rnacentral:rRNA from 1 species
AGAACGAACGCUGGCGGCAUGCCUAACACAUGCAAGUCGAACGAUGCUUUCGGGCAUAGUGGCGCACGGGUGCGUAACGCGUGGGAAUCUGCCCCUUGGUUCGGAAUAACAGUUAGAAAUGACUGCUAAUACCGGAUGACGACGUAAGUCCAAAAGAUUUAUCGCCGAGGGAUGAGCCCGCGUAGGAUUAGCUAGUUGGUGAGGUAAUGGCUCACCAAGGCGACGAUCCUUAGCUGGUCUGAGAGGAUGAUCAGCCACACUGGGACUGAGACACGGCCCAGACUCCUACGGGAGGCAGCAGUGGGGAAUAUUGGACAAUGGGCGCAAGCCUGAUCCAGCAAUGCCGCGUGAGUGAUGAAGGCCUUAGGGUUGUAAAGCUCUUUUACCAGGGAUGAUAAUGACAGUACCUGGAGAAUAAGCUCCGGCUAACUCCGUGCCAGCAGCCGCGUAA